rnacentral:rRNA from 1 species
CUGACCGUAAACUAUGCCAUCUAACGAGUCGGUAUUGGUUAUUAAUUGCCAUUUUGACGAGUUACCCGGAAACGAAAGUCUUUCGGUUCCGGGGGGAGUAUGGUUGCAAAACUGAAACUUAAAGGGAUUGACGGAAAGUCACCACCAGAAAUGGAGCCUGCGGCUUAAUUUGACUCAACACGGGAAAACUCACCCGGUCUAGACACUAAAAUGAAUGACAGACUGAUAUAUCUCUCAAGAUAUAGUGCAAAGUGGUGCAUGGCCGUUCUUAGUUCGUGGAGUAAUCUGUCUGGUUAAUUUCGAUAACGAACGAGACUAGAACAUAGUUAAUUGUGUGUAAUAUUAUUAUUUUAUUACACGGUGAUAAAUGGAUAUGCAAAUAAAAUUGCCUGAAAACUGGCAAUAACAGGUCUGUUAUGCCCUUAGUUGUCCGGGGCCGCACGCGCGCUACAAUGGAAAUUGCAGUGCGUAUAUACUAUAUCGAAAGAUAUGGUUAAACGUGUCAAAUUAUUCCGCAUUCGGGAUCGGAGACUGUAAUUGUUUUCGUGAACGAGGAACUUCAAAGUAAGUGUGUGUCAUUAGCGCACGCUG